GGUACAAAACAAGAACAGUUGAAUUGCAAACAAUUGCCAAGAACAAAAAAGGCUUAUGAGUAACUUAUUAAGCAAUCAAAGAAGUGCAGUAAUGAACUCAGGGUGGUGGCAGUCUGGGAACAUCAAAUAAAUACAAAGAGACUACAUUAUCAAUUUUUAUCAAGACAUGCAACAGAAAGGCCGUCUCACUGAUAUUAAAAAUGUGAGGCGUCCAACACAUUC
rnacentral:misc_RNA from 1 species